GCCCGUCUAGCUCAGUCGGUAGAGCGCAAGGCUCUUAACCUUGUGGUCGUGGGGUCGAGCCCCACGGUGGGCG
rfam:Oryza glaberrima chromosome 11 Oglab11_0352_5, whole genome shotgun sequence.